CUGAUUGUUAACACCGGGGAUGAACAACUUUUGUCACGUGACCGCAAAAGUCAACGCCGGUUGCAGAAACAGAUUGUAAUCUUGUACAUUAAGAAACAUGACGCUCGUGUGUGAAAUCUGUGGAAAGACAUUUAAAUCGAAGUGGGGGUUAAAGCUUCAUGAUAAGCGCCACAGAGGGACUGGACGAUUCGCCUGUUGUGGAAAAACAUUUUACACAAAACAGGCGUUCAACAGACACAGAUGCAGCAUUCAUGGUGUUGAAAAGCCGUUCCCCUGUGAACAAUGCGGCAAAAAGUUUUCAACCAAAGAUGACCUGAAUCGUCACGUCCGGAGGGAGGUUGCUGCAAAGCAAUUUACCUGCUCAAUUUGCAAUGCAACGCUCCGGGAGAAAAUUGACCUUCAGGCCCACCUUGCCACCCACAAUGGAGAGAAAAACUUUGCUUGUGAUAUGUGUGAAAAGAGGUACAGGCACCGCAGUAGUCUAUCAAAGCACAGAUCUGCAAAGCACCGGGCCUAGUCAUCUGUUGCAUGACGAUGAUAAGACCAAGAAUUAUUUUUAAUUCUUACCAAUGUGCCGUGGUUAUUUUCUUAAUUAUUGAAAAUACAGACUGUCAUACAAUAAUAUAUAGUAUUACGCGUGUUUUUGCGUCUUAAACAUUGUGUUUCAUAUCGUUUAUCUUGUGUUGUUUUGUUUGAUAUUCCUGUUUUUAAUAAGAUUAUUGUUGUAAUAUUUAUCAUUCUAAUUUAAAAUGAUUAUGAUAAUGGUUGAUCUCAUACAAAUUAUUGUGUUCAUUAUUGCUCAUCUGUGAUUACUGUUGAUCUCAGCCCAUGAAUUGUGAUUUAUAUUGAUUAUCUGUGAUUAUUGUUGAUCUUAUCAAAAUAAUUGUAAUUUAUGUUGAUUAUCUUUGAAUUUUUUAUCUUAACCUAUUAAUAGUGAUUUAUAUUAUCUGUGAUUAUUGUUGAUCUUAUCAAAAUCAUUGUGAUUUAUGUUGAUUAUCUGUGAUUAUUGUUGAUCUCAACCGAUUAAUUGUGAUUUAUAUAACCAGUGAUUAUUGUUGAUCUUAUCAAAAUCAUUGUAAUUUAUGUUGAUUAUCUGUGAUUAUUGUUGAUCUUUUCGAAAUCAUUGUAAUUUAUGUUGAUUAUCUGUGAUUAUUGUUGAUCUUUUCGAAAUCAUUGUAAUUUAUGUUGAUUAUCUGUGAUUAUUGUUGAUCUUUUCAAAAUCAUUGUAAUUUAUGUUGAUUAUCUGUGAUUAUUGUUGAUCUCACCAUAUCCGCUGGAAUAUACAUUUGAGCCGCGCUCUGUGAAAAGGGGGUUUAAUGCAUGUGCGUAAAGUGCAGUCCACAUAGGCUAAUCAGGGACGGCACUUUCCGCUUUUAUGAUAUGUUUUGUUAAAAGAAAGUCUCUUCUGAGCAAAAAUCGAGUUUAUCGGAAAGGUUUGUCCCUAAUUAGCCUGUACGGAAUGCACAGGCUAAUAUGUGACGACACCUUACGCACAUGCAUUAAACCCCCUUUUCACAGAGCGAGACUCAUUUGUAAUCUGCGAUUUUUGUUUAUCUAUUUCGAAUCAAUAUGAUUAAAAUAUAUUUUUGGUGAGUUAGCUUUUUGUCUCAUUGGAAUCAUUGUGCGAAUUGUCAACAAUUACAUGUAAAUCUGUAAUUCCUUCUCAAGUUGCACAUAGGCCAGUUUAAUGUUUUGCGUAUAAGCUAUUAUUGCGAUACGGGAUAUUCUUUGCAGCAAUAAAACAAUUAAUCUGCA